GUAGGCGGUUUAAUAAGUGAAUAGUGAAACCUGGUGGCUCAACCAUACAGACUAUUAUUCAAACNUGUUAAACUCGAGAAUGGUAGAGGUAACUGGAAUUUCUAGUGUAGGAGUGAAAUCCGUAGAUAUUAGAAGGAACACCGAUGGCGUAGGCAGGUUACUGGGCCAUUUCUGACGCUAAGGCACGAAAGCGUGGGGAGCGAACCGGAUUAGAUACCCGGGUAGUCCACGCCGUAAACGAUGGAUACUAGCUGUUGGAGGUAUCGACCCCUUCAGUAGCGAAGCUAACGCGUUAAGUAUCCCGCCUGUGGAGUACGGCCGCAAGGCUAAAACAUAAAGGAAUUGACGGGGACCCGCACAAGCGGUGGAUUAUGUUCUUUAAUUCGAUGAUAACCGAAGAACCUUACCAGGGCUUGACAUCCAGGGAAGGUCUGCGAAAGUAGACUGUGCCUUUUGGAACCCUGUGACAGGUGAUGCAUGGCCGUCGUCAGCUCGUGUCGUGAGAUGUUAGGUUAAGUCCUUCAACGAGCGCAACCCUUGUGAAUAGUUGUAUUUUUCUAUUCAGACUGCCCCGGUAACGGGGAGGAAGGAGGGGAUGAUGUCAGGUCAGUAUUUCCCUUACGUCCUGGGCUAGAAACGUAAUACAAUGGCUAGUACAAUGCGCAGCGAACCCCCGAGGUGAA
rnacentral:rRNA from 1 species